rnacentral:rRNA from 1 species
UGCAAGUCGAGCGGACAGAAGGGAGCUUGCUCCCGGAUGUUAGCGGCGGACGGGUGAGUAACACGUGGGUAACCUGCCUGUAAGACUGGGAUAACUCCGGGAAACCGGAGCUAAUACCGGAUAGUUCCUUGAACCGCAUGGUUCAAGGAUGAAAGACGGUUUCGGCUGUCACUUACAGAUGGACCCGCGGCGCAUUAGCUAGUUGGUGAGGUAACGGCUCACCAAGGCGACGAUGCGUAGCCGACCUGAGAGGGUGAUCGGCCACACUGGGACUGAGACACGGCCCAGACUCCUACGGGAGGCAGCAGUAGGGAAUCUUCCGCAAUGGACGAAAGUCUGACGGAGCAACGCCGCGUGAGUGAUGAAGGUUUUCGGAUCGUAAAGCUCUGUUGUUAGGGAAGAACAAGUGCAAGAGUAACUGCUUGCACCUUGACGGUACCUAACCAGAAAGCCACGGCUAACUACGUGCCAGCAGCCGCGGUAAUACGUAGGUGGCAAGCGUUGUCCGGAAUUAUUGGGCGUAAAGGGCUCGCAGGCGGUUUCUUAAGUCUGAUGUGAAAGCCCCCGGCUCAACCGGGGAGGGUCAUUGGAAACUGGGAAACUUGAGUGCAGAAGAGGAGAGUGGAAUUCCACGUGUAGCGGUGAAAUGCGUAGAGAUGUGGAGGAACACCAGUGGCGAAGGCGACUCUCUGGUCUGUAACUGACGCUGAGGAGCGAAAGCGUGGGGAGCGAACAGGAUUAGAUACCCUGGUAGUCCACGCCGUAAACGAUGAGUGCUAAGUGUUAGGGGGUUUCCGCCCCUUAGUGCUGCAGCUAACGCAUUAAGCACUCCGCCUGGGGAGUACGGUCGCAAGACUGAAACUCAAAGGAAUUGACGGGGGCCCGCACAAGCGGUGGAGCAUGUGGUUUAAUUCGAAGCAACGCGAAGAACCUUACCAGGUCUUGACAUCCUCUGACAACCCUAGAGAUAGGGCUUUCCCUUCGGGGACAGAGUGACAGGUGGUGCAUGGUUGUCGUCAGCUCGUGUCGUGAGAUGUUGGGUUAAGUCCCGCAACGAGCGCAACCCUUGAUCUUAGUUGCCAGCAUUCAGUUGGGCACUCUAAGGUGACUGCCGGUG